CGGCAAGCCUACCGGUCUGUCUCACCUGUCGUAUCAGAUUUUCAAAUGGGAGCAUUUCGAAAACUACGGUUAUGUAAAUUGAUCUUGGUUGUGAACAUUGUCCUCUUAAUACCAACAAUUUCGUCCACCCCGGUAAAAGAUGCAAACCUAGAAACUGCACAGAAUGUUAGUUCAGAAUCCAUUACGCCCAAAUUGGGGAAAAGUUUACAGGAAGAAAAGGAGCCUGGAACCAAACCAAAAUUACCGGUGACUGGAACCCGACGAAAAUCAAGGCAAUCAUACCCACUAAUGAUUUAUGGAGGAUGAUAUCUACCCUCCUGGGACGAAAGGCUGGGGUUCGGGUAAACUUGGAUGGGGAUCGAGCAAGCCUGGAUGGGGGUCAAGUAAGCCUGGCUGGGGGUCUGGAUGGAAGGCAACUGGAGGUGUUCCCGCUGUACCAUUUGGAUGGGGGUCAACCGGGGGUGGAUCGACACCCUUCGGUUCAGGGUUUGCAGGAUGGGGGUCAUUCGGGGGUUCCUCGGGGUGGGGAUCAAGCCUUGGCGGGUCAGCAGGCUGGGCUGGAGCAGGGUCACCAAUUCCAAGCUUUCAAUCCCCAUUUUCUGGCAUAGGGCCAGCCAUUGCCGGCUUGGGACCUAUUUUACAAGGUUUGGGGUUAGGUAAUCCUGGUAAUAGAUUUUCCUGGCCGUGGACGAAUCCUGGCAAUCUUGUCAUGAAUCCUUGUGAUUUGCGUCCGGGAGACACGACUUGCAUUGGGAUACUAGAAAAACCAGUGUAAAACAUUAUUUAAUUGUCGCUUGAAAAUUGUAUUUAUAUUUAUGCAUAUAUUUAUGUAUGUGCACAGUACCAUAUUUUCGUACAUUAAUACAAGUAAUCAGUUUCCUAUAAUAUUUACCAAUUUAAGUAUGUAUGUACAUACAUGUGUAGAUAUCUGGUUCAGGCUAACACAUUUUUAUCACAACGAAUGAUCCGAGAUCAAACCAGACGCAAAAACACGUUUUUUAUUCAUUUACAUAGUGGGGUCAUAAGUUCUCGUGAAUGCAUUUCCGGUAAUAAA